rnacentral:rRNA from 1 species
CCUACGGGUGGCUGCAGUGGGGAAUAUUGGACAAUGGGGGGAACCCUGAUCCAGCCAUGCCGCGUGUGUGAAGAAGGCCCUCGGGUUGUAAAGCACUUUCAGUGAGGAAGAACGCCUGGUGGUUAAUACCCAUCAGGAAAGACAUCACUCACAGAAGAAGCACCGGCUAACUCCGUGCCAGCAGCCGCGGGAAUACGGAGGGUGCGAGCGUUAAUCGGAAUUACUGGGCGUAAAGCGCGCGUAGGUGGCUUGAUAAGCCGGUUGUGAAAGCCCCGGGCUCAACCUGGGAACGGCAUCCGGAACUGUCAAGCUAGAGUGCAGGAGAGGAAGGUAGAAUUCCCGGUGUAGCGGUGAAAUGCGUAGAGAUCGGGAGGAAUACCAGUGGCGAAGGCGGCCUUCUGGACUGACACUGACACUGAGGUGCGAAAGCGUGGGUAGCAAACAGGAUUAGAUACCCUUGUAGUC